rnacentral:lncRNA from 10 species
AGGACAAGCCCCAGCGAGGCCUGGCCCCCGUGCCAGCUCUGAGCGUGAGAAAGUGCUGAGCCGGGGAGGAGGGUGUGGAGUGGCUCCAGGUCGCCCUGCAGGCACUGUGUGUUUGGACAGCUGGAAGCAGAGCUCGGCCUGUGACCUGCCUGGUCCAGCAACUGGACCUUCUGGAGAGUCACAGUGAGACACACAGCCACAUCCUGUAAAUGAAGACCUCGUGGCUCAGAGAGGUCAGUAAGCCAGAGAAAAGAAAAUGCCAUUCGGAAAAUCCUAAGGAAGAGAGGAUGCAUUUCCUCGUCUCCACGUGGAAGCGGAUCACCCUAAAGGUCUUCAUCCUGGUCUUUUUCAUGCUGAGGAGGCUGGGGAGGAGAAGGAAGAGGAGGGGCUGGUCUUGCUGACCCAGGAGCAGCAGAGAAAGGAGAAAAUCCACGUGCAGGGGCUGGCCAGCGCUGGGCUUCUCGGGAAUGGAAUCACACACGGACUGUGGCGUACACAUCACAACUUUAAACCCCGUCCGUACUGAAGCCUGCGUCCGAAUUUCUUCUGUUUUUGUGGCGGAAGGAUAAAUAUUCCAUUGUACAGACGGUCUACCCGGUUCAUCCGUCACCCACCCAUGGGCACCCGGGCCGUUUCCACCCUUAGUGAAGGAAGCCGCACGGGUGUUUGUGCGGACAGGAGCUUCCGUUUAUCUUGGGCGCACACCUAGGGGUGGAGUUGCUGGGUCUCGUGGUGACUGGUUGUUUCGGGAGCUGCCGGCAGGUGACCCAGCAGCUGGGCCGGUCCACAUUCCGUCCAGCAGCGUGCGAGUCUCUGAUCUUGGCGCCCACACCCCUGGCUGGCUCUCUCCUCCCUCCGACUUCGCAGCCACACCGGAGGCAGGUGGCAAUGUGAGUGGGGACCGGGCACGCGCAGGGGCUGACUCCACACCUCGCAGGGCUGGUCUGCAGAUCUCCCUGGGAGGCAGGAACAUCACGCCCCCAUUUCAGAAGAGGAUGCUGGGCUCAGAGAGGCCCACCAGCAAGUUGGGCCCUCACUGGCCACUUCCUCCAUUCUCUGGACUCGGCAGGAACUCAAGGUGUGCGGUCCCUCCCUCGGCGCCCAAGCCCCACACUGGGCCUGCCCUGGGCAUGAGUUGGCCAUUGGACCUGAGGCUGGAGAAC